rnacentral:rRNA from 1 species
CCUACGGGAGGCAGCAGUGAGGAAUAUUGGUCAAUGGGAGAGAUCCUGAACCAGCCAAGCCGCGUGAGGGAAGACGGCCCUAUGGGUUGUAAACCUCUUUUGUCGGAGAACAAAACCCGGGACGUGUCCCGGACUGCGUGUAUCCGAAGAAAAAGCAUCGGCUAACUCCGUGCCAGCAGCCGCGGUAAUACGGAGGAUGCGAGCGUUAUCCGGAUUUAUUGGGUUUAAAGGGUGCGUAGGCGGUCCGUUAAGUCAGCGGUAAACUUGCGGGGCUCAACCCCGUCGAGCCGUUGAACCUGGCAGACUUGAGUUGGCGAGAAGUACGCGGAAUGCGCGGUGUAGCGGUGAAAUGCAUAGAUAGCGCGCAGAACUCCGAUUGCGAAGGCAGCGUACCGGCGCCAGACUGACGCUGAGGCACGAAAGCGUGGGGAUCGAACAGGAUUAGAUACCCCAGUAGUC